GAUGAACGCUGGCGGCGUGCCUAAUACAUGCAAGUCGAGCGAAUGGAUUGAGAGCUUGCUCUUAUGAAGUUAGCGGCGGACGGGUGAGUAACACGUGGGUAACCUGCCCAUAAGACUGGGAUAACUCCGGGAAACCGGGGCUAAUACCGGAUAACAUUUUGAACCGCAUGGUUCGAAAUUGAAAGGCGGCUUCGGCUGUCACUUAUGGAUGGACCCGCGUCGCAUUAGCUAGUUGGUGAGGUAACGGCUCACCAAGGAAACGAUGCGUAGCCGACCUGAGAGGAUGAUCGGCCACACUGGGACUGAGACACGGCCCAGACUCCUACGGGAGGCAGCAGUAGGGAAUCGUCCGCAAUGGACAAAAGUCUGACGGAGCAACGCCGCGUGAGGGAUGAAGGCUUUCGGGUCGUAAAGCUCUGUUGUUAGGGAAGAACAAGUGCUAGUUGAAUAAGCUGGCACCUUGACGGUACCUAACCAGAAAGCCACGGCUAACUACGUGCCAGCAGCCGCGGUAA
rnacentral:rRNA from 1 species